CUUGGCGCGACCGCUUUUCUUCUUUGUGGGCCGGCGUUUGCGUGUUUUUCUUUUUACACAACCGGGAAUAUCGGAGUAACAUUGUCUUUCUCUGUUUCCCUAGACUUGCCAGAAAAUCUGCAAAGUCGUAUAGCCACAGCACGCGCAAAAGAAGAAAUCUUGAACUGAAGUGAUCGGGGAACCAAGGAUCCUCCUUCCCACGGACCAGGACAGGCCAGAACUUGAAAAUCAGUAAUGGCCUCUUUUAUUAAUGCCUAUAUCAUCAGCAGUAAAUAUUUAUUCAGCAUCUAUUCUGUGUUAGAGAGCAGCAUUCUACACUAAAG